rnacentral:rRNA from 1 species
GACGAACGCUGGCGGCGUGCUUAACACAUGCAAGUCGAACGGAAAGGCCUGUCCUUCCUUGUGUUGGACGGGUACUCGAGUGGCGAACGGGUGAGUAACACGUGAGUGAUCUGCCCCCAACUUGGGUAUAAGCCUGGGAAACUGGGUCUAAUUCCCGAUAGGACUGCAGGGUGGUGCCUGUGGUGGAAAACGAUUUUCUAGUGGUUGGGGAUGAGCUCGCGGCCUAUCAGCUUGUUGGUGGGGUAAUGGCCUACCAAGGCGGCGACGGGUAGCCGGCCUGGGAGGGUGGACGGCCACAUUGGGACUGAGAUACGGCCCAGACGCCUACGGGAGGCAGCAGUGGGGAAGAUUGCACAAUGGGCGGAAGCCUGAUGCAGCGACGCCGCGUGGGGGAUGACGGCCUUCGGGUUGUAAACUCCUUUCGACCGCGAGGAAGCCGCCUGGUUGGAAGGGUGGUGACGGUAGUGGUAGAAGAAGCACCGGCUAACUACGUG